UAAUACGAAGGGGGCGAGCGUUGUUCGGAAUUACUGGGCGUAAAGGGCGCGUAGGCGGCCAUCUUUGUCAGGCGUGAAAGCCCUGGGCUCAACCCAGGAAUUGCGCUUGGGACGGGAUGGCUAGAGUUCGGGAGAGGAGAGUGGAAUUCCCAGUGUAGAGGUGAAAUUCGUAGAUAUUGGGAAGAACACCGGUGGCGAAGGCGGCUCUCUGGACCGAUACUGACGCUGAGGCGCGAAAGCGUGGGGAGCAAACAGGAUUAGAUACCCUGGUAGUCCACGCUGUAAACGAUGUGUGCUAGACGUUGGGAAGCCUAGCUUCUCGGUGUCGCAGCUAACGCGGUAAGCACACCGCCUGGGGAGUACGGCCGCAAGGUUA
rnacentral:rRNA from 1 species